GACGUACGCUGGCGGCGUGCUUAACACAUGCAAGUCGAACGGUGAAGCGCCUUCCUUUUUGGUGGGUGUGGAUGAGUGGCGAACGGGUGAGUAACACGUGAGUAACCUGCCCCCUUCUUCUGGAUAACCGCAUGAAAGUGUGGCUAAUACGGGAUAUUCUGGGUCUGUCGCAUGAUGGGUCUGGGAAAGAUUUUGUUUCGGUGGGGGAUGGGCUCGCGGCCUAUCAGCUUGUUGGUGGGGUGAUGGCCUACCAAGGCGGUGACGGGUAGCCGGCCUGAGAGGGUGGACGGUCACACUGGGACUGAGACACGGCCCAGACUCCUACGGGAGGCAGCAGUGGGGAAUAUUGCACAAUGGGCGCAAGCCUGAUGCAGCGACGCCGCGUGAGGGAUGGAGGCCUUCGGGUUGUGAACCUCUUUCGCCAGUGAAGCAGGCCUGCCUCGUUUGUGGGUGGGUUGACGGUAGCUGGAUAAGAAGCGCCGGCUAACUACGUG
rnacentral:rRNA from 1 species